UAUUGAAGCCAGGAUAUGGCCAGCAGAACAACAUCCUGAUGCCAGCUGCAACUGUGUUAAACCCUGGAGGCACUGUUGGAUGGACUUGGCCCUGGACAUUUUGAUACAUGGAACAGCAAUGGCUGGCCCCUCUGGCACCUUGGGGAAAAGGACUGGAAGCUGGCUUCAUGUGUAGUAAAAGAGUAACAGCAGACUGGCCCACAAAGAUCAUGGUAGUGUACCCAAAACAUCCAGGAGACACAAUACUGGGAAAAACAGCAUCUCAGCUGGUAACAUCCUUUGGAGGCUCAUCUGGGAUCUGACAUUGAAUGGGAAAGACAUCAUGAGAUGGAGGCAGAAGGUAGCCACUGGGAUAGGUAAAACAAGACACGUUGCCUUGAUCAGUCAAACAGGACACUGACAUAAGGCAUUGUCAUCAGCCAGCCAAGUGGACAUAAGAAACCACCUCCUGAAAUGGCCAACCUGAGAAACAAGGGGUCUUUCUGGUUCCAGCCCAGCCCUAGCAACAGGUCCUAGGCAACCAGGUGGACUUCCUUCUUUCCAGUGCUUAUAAUACCCUGGACACUGCAGCCCAAAUGGUUUUCUCUCUUGGAACCCCUCCCAAUUAGUGGGAACUCUCUUCUUUUUACUCUUCAUUAAA